rnacentral:lncRNA from 1 species
GCCACCACAUGGAGGAUUGUCUCCCAUCUGGGGACCUGGGUUUGCAAAUGCUCAGUAAGAGUAAGACUUCCUGUUAUUCCUUACAAUGGAUAAACUUGGACUGGGUCUUCAGAGUGGAUGUUUCUCUCUCACCCGAGCAAACACAGACGAGCUCUCUGUUGCCGUGUGAGCCCCUAAAAGCCUUCCUAAUAACAAACUGAAGUCAGCUAAGUUCAGGUAUAGCAGACUCCUGGAUAACCUGCAGGUAGCUGGGUGCACCCCUACUUUUGUGGGUGGUUUCCAGACCAGAUUUAAAACCAAUUACCAGGUGUUAUGUAACUGAGGGCACCAGAAAGAGCCUGGCAUGAGUGGGGAGGGAGGCAUUGAGGAAAAGAGUCACAAGCAAAAGAGGAGAAAACCAUGAGAGAAAACAAACAGGAGCCACAGCCAGUGCCAAACUGAAGGAAGGACUGUUUUCCAACAGGAUUUACAGACACGAAAAGAAAAAGGAGACGGUUUCUUCACUCCUGUACUUGGUCAGCAAGCAUUUCUUAGAGCAUGUCAUAGAUGUAAGAUAAUUAAAUAAAUAUCUCUGCCUCUAGUGUUUCACAGUCUGGUGGCAGAUGGAGGUGUG